AGUGGCAGGGAGCCGACGGUGAACUGUCAAAGGUUUGCUGAGGAAAGUCCGUCCACCCGCGAUGUAAUUCGCACUAUGGUUGCUCUCUUAUGAGAGACGGAGAAAUCCGUGGCUCUGGCUCAGAAACGACACGUCCUGCAGACUAAGGGAUGAUGAUGCAAAAAAUGAAGAUAAAUACUUCAUUUUUGCACAGAAAUAUGAUCUUUUUCAUAUUUCUUGUGGCGACACUUUCUGUGAAGAAAGUAAGUUAACCCGCGGACGUCUCUGCAGGGACCGAUGAAACGGCGAAUCCCAACCGGUGCAAGUCAAGUUUUGACGCUGAGUAGAAUGCUCCAACAGGCUAUCGGUGCUCAUCGAGCACUUUGGGCCUGACAGAAGACGGCUUAUGCCACU
rnacentral:RNase_P_RNA from 1 species